rnacentral:rRNA from 1 species
UACGGGGGGGGCAAGCGUUGUUCGGAAUUACUGGGCGUAAAGGGUUCGUAGGUGGCCUACUAAGUCAGACGUGAAAUCCCUCAGCUUAACUGGGGAACUGCGUCUGAUACUGGGGGGCUUGAGUGCAGGAGAGGAACGCGGAAUUCCAGGUGUAGCGGUGAAACGCGUAGAUAUCUGGAGGAACACCGGUGGCGAAGGCGGCGUUCUGGACUGCAACUGACACUGAUGAACGAAAGCCAGGGGAGCAAACGGG